rnacentral:rRNA from 1 species
UGAGCAAUCUGCCCUUCUCUUUGGAAUAAGCGUUGGAAACGACGUCUAAUGCCGAAUACGACCUCCUUUCGCAUGAUCGGAGGUGGAAAGCUCCGGCGGAGAAGGAUGAGCUCGCGGCCUAUCAGCUAGUUGGUGUGGGUAAUGGCCCACCAAGGCGACGACGGGUAGCCGGCCUGAGAGGGUGACCGGCCACACUGGGACUGAGACACGGCCCAGACUCCUACGGGAGGNAG